AAGGAACGUUGAAGACGACGACGUUGAUAGGCCGGGUGUGUAAGCGCAGCGAUGCGUUGAGCUAACCGGUACUAAUGAACCGUGAGGCUUAACCUU
rnacentral:ncRNA from 16 species